GACGGAGGGUGCAAGCGUUGUUCGGAUUGACUGGGCGUAAAGGGCGUGUAGGCGGUUGGUCAAGUCUGGUGUGAAAGCCCGGGGCUUAACCCCGGAAGUGCAUUGGAAACUAGCCAGCUGGAGCGCGAGAGAGGAGGGUGGAAUUCCUGGUGUAGCGGUGAAAUGCGUAGAUAUCAGGAGGAACACCGGCGGCGAAGGCGGCCCUCUGGCUCGUUGCUGACGCUGAAACGCGAAAGCGUGGGGAGCAAACAGG
rnacentral:rRNA from 1 species